rnacentral:tRNA from 1 species
UGGAGGUGUAGCUCAGUUGGUUAGAGUGCUUGCCUGUCACGCAAGAUGUCGCGAGUUCGAGUCUCGUCACUUCCGCCAU